rnacentral:rRNA from 1 species
CCUACGGGAGGCAGCAGUGAGGAAUAUUGGUCAAUGGGCGCGAGCCUGAACCAGCCAAGUAGCGUGAAGGAUGACUGCCCUACGGGUUGUAAACUUCUUUUAUAAAGGAAUCAAGUGAGGCCCGUGUGCCUUUUUGUAUGUAUUUUAUGAAUAAGGAUCGGCUAACUCCGUGCCAGCAGCCGCGGUAAUACGGAGGAUGGGAAGGUUAUCCGGAUUUAUUGGGUUUUAAGGGUGCGUAGGUUGUUUUUUAAGUCAGCGGUGAAAGUGUGUGGCUAAACCAUAAAAUUGCCGUUGAGACUGGAAGACUUGAGUGUGUUUGAGGUAGGCGGAAUGCGUGGUGUAGCGGUGAAAUGCAUAGAUAGCACGCAGAACUCCGAUUGCGAAGGCAGCUUACUAAGCCAUAACUGACACUGAAGCACGAAAGCGUGGGGAUCAAACAGGAUUAGAUACCCGUGUAGUC